CCCGAGUUUACAACUCCCAAACCCAUGUGAACAUACCUACUGUUGCUUCGGCGGGAUUGCCCCGGGCGCCUCGUGGCCCCGGAUCAGGGCGCCCGCCUAGGAAACUUAACUCUUGUUUUAUUUUGGAAUCUUCUGAGUAGUUUUUACAAAUAAAUAA
rnacentral:misc_RNA from 1 species